GAUUAUGGCUUUUUUGCCGAUAUCCUACAAACCCUGUUUCCAUAUGAGUUGGGAAAUUGUGUUCGAUGUAAAAAUAAACGGAAUACAAUGAUUUGCAAAUCAUUUUCAACCCAUAUUCAGUUGAAUAAAAAACAUAUUUGAUGUUUGUGAAAGACUCGUGCCGUCUUGCGGGUUCCAGGGGCCACUAAGGAAGGACACGGCUUUGAGCAGGUCUCCCGUCCAAAGGCAAAACCUAGUAACUCACUUCUAGCUGAUUUUGAGAAAACAAAGCAAAACCAAUCCAUCUUGAUGCUAUUUUACAAAGAUCCACUAAGUCAUCAAACGUAUGGCUGUUUUCUUGAGCUUUCAUUUUCUUGCCGACUGAGCCAUGGAUUGAAUCCGCUCUCAUGAAUGUGUGCCCUUUCUCCUUAUAUUUAUCACAAUCUUACCUUGUCUCGGCCUUUCCACGCCCAAACAGACAAACUUCACCUAGAACUGAAAACAGGUCAGUGCAGUAGUGUCCGAUAAUGGCUUUUUUGCCGAUAUCCUACAAACUCUGUUUCCAUAUGAGUUGGGAAAUUGUGUUCGAUGUAAAAAUAAACGGAAUACAAUGAUUUGCAAAUCAUUUUCAACCCAUACUCAGUUGAAUAAAAAACAUAUUUGAUGUUUGUGAAAGACUCGUGCCGUCUUGCGGGUUCCAGGGACCACUAAGGAAGGACCCGGCUUUGAGCAGGUCUCCCGUCCAAAGGCAAAACCUAGUAACUCACUUCUAGCUGAUUUUGAGAAAACAAAGGAAAACCAAUCCAUCUUGAUGCUGUUUUACAAAUAUCUACUAAGUCAUCAAACGUAUGGCUGUUUUCUUGAGCUUUCAUUUUCUUGCCGACUGAGCCAUGGAUUGAAUCCGCUCUCAUGAACGUGUGCCCUUUCUCCUUAUAUUUAUCACAAUCUUACCUUGUCUCGGCCUUUCCACGCCCAAACAGACAAACUUCACCUAGAGCUGAAAACAGGUCAGUGCAGUAGUGUCCGAUAAUGGCUUUUUUGCCGAUAUCCUACAAACUCUGUUUCCAUAUGAGUUGGGAAAUUGUGUUCGAUGUAAAAAUAAACGGAAUACAAUGAUUUGCAAAUCAUUUUCAACCCAUAUUCAGUUGAAUAAAAAACAUAUUUGAUGUUUGUGAAAGACUCGUGCCGUCUUGCGGGUUCCAGGGGCCACUAAGGAAGGACACGGCUUUGAGCAGGUCUCCCGUCCAAAGGCAAAACCUAAUAACUCACUUCUAGAUGAUUUUGAGAAAACAAAGGAAAACCAAUCCAUUUUGAUGCUGUCUUACAAAGAUCUACAAAGUCAUCAAACGUAUGGAUGUUUUCUUGAGCUUUCAUUUUCUUGCCGAUUGAUCCAUGGAUUGAAUCUGCUCUCAUGAACGUGUGCCCUUUCUCCAGAUAUUUUAUCACGAUCUUACCUUGUCUCGGCCUUUCCACGCCCAAACAGACAAACUUCACCUAGAACUGAAAACAGUGCCUCAGACUGGAAGUCUCCGCAGAGAGUGGUGAGGACGGCGGAAAAGAUCAUCAUCUCUGUGCUGCUGAUCCGCCUCUGCUUGGGAUGGUUUCCUGUUGGCUCCACUAUGGACGAGACUCUCGCUACUGAGUUGGAUCCACUUUGGACUGGACUCUCACGGUUGUGUUGGAUCAAUCAAUCAAUCAAUCAAUCAAUGUUUAUUUAUAUAGCCCUAAAUCACAAAUGUCUCAAAGGACUGUACAAACCACUACGACUAUGACAUCCUUGGAAGAACCCACAAAAGGGCAAGGAAAACUCACACCCAGUGGGCAAGGAAAAUUCACACCCAGUGGGACGCCAGUGACAAUGAUGACUAUGAGAACGUUGGAGAGGACCUCAAAUGUGGGGAACCCCCCCCCCCCUAUAGGGGACCGAAAGCAAUGGAUGUCGAGCGGGUCUAACAUGAUACUGUGAAAGUUCAAUCCAUAGUGGCUCCAGCAUAGCCGCGAGAGUUCAGUUCAAAGCGGAUCCAAGACAGCAGCGAGAGUCCCGUCCACAGGAAACCAUCCCAAGCCGAGUCGGAUCAGCAUCGUAGAGAUGUCCCCAACCGAUACACAGGCGAGCGGUCCAUCCUGGGUCCCGACUCUGGACAGCCAGUACUUCAUCCAUGGUCAUCGGACCGGACCCCCUCCACAAGGGAGGGGGGGACAGAGGAGAAAAACAAAAGAAGCGGCGGAUCAACUGGUCUAAAAAGGAGGUCUAUUUAAAGGCAAGAGUAUACAAAUGAGUUUUAAGGUGAGACUUAAAUGCUUCUACUGAGGUAGCAUCUCGAACUGUUACCGGGAGGGCAUUCCAGAGUACUGGAGCCACUAUGGAUUGAACUUUCACAGUAUCAUGUUAGACCCGCUCGACAUCCAUUGCUUUUGGUCCACUGGAGGGGGGGGGGGGGUUCUCUCCAAGGUUUGUCAUUGUCCUCAUUGUCACCGACGUCCCACUGGGUGUGAGUUUUCCUUGCCCUUAUGUGGGCCCUUCCGAGGAUGUUGUUGUGGUUUGUGCAGCCCUUUGAGACACUAGUGAUUUAGGUCUAUAUAAGUAAUCAUUGAUUGAUUGAUCAGGACUCCUCUUCCUCCUAUCCGGGAGAUCGCAAAAAGCCGCUGCCUGACCAGGGCUCGGAAAAUCUGCUGAGACCCCUCCCACCCCCACCAAGGACUGUUUUCACUGCUGGGACUCUAGAAAGAGGUUCCGCAGCCUCCGUAGCAGAACCUCCAGGUUCUGUAACAGCUUUUUCCCUCAGGUCAUGAGACUCUUGAACGCAUCACGAAUUAACUGGCUGGAAUAUAAAGACAGUAUAACAUACAUCCAUAAACGUGGAUGGAUAUGCAAAAGUGCAAUAUAUUUAUCUGUACAGUAAUCUAUUUAUAUCUGCACCUAUUGCUCUUUGAUCCUGUGCUACCAUGAGCUAAUGCAACAAAAUUUCGUUCUUAUCUGUACUGUAACAUUCAAAUUUGAAUGACAAUAAAAAGGAAGUCAAAGUGUAA